rnacentral:rRNA from 1 species
AGUGAACGCUGGCGGUAGGCCUAACACAUGCAAGUCGAACGGCAGCACAGUAAGAGCUUGCUCUUACGGGUGGCGAGUGGCGGACGGGUGAGGAAUACAUCGGAAUCUACUUUUUCGUGGGGGAUAACGUAGGGAAACUUACGCUAAUACCGCAUACGACCUACGGGUGAAAGCAGGGGAUCUUCGGACCUUGCGCGAUUGAAUGAGCCGAUGUCGGAUUAGCUAGUUGGCGGGGUAAAGGCCCACCAAGGCGACGAUCCGUAGCUGGUCUGAGAGGAUGAUCAGCCACACUGGAACUGAGACACGGUCCAGACCCCUACGGGAGGCAGCAGUGGGGAAUAUUGGACAAUGGGCGCAAGCCUGAUCCAGCCAUACCGCGUGGGUGAAGAAGGCCUUCGGGUCGUAAAGCCCUUUUGUUGGGAAAGAAAAGCAGCAGGUUAAUACCCCGCUGUUCUGACGGUACCCAAAGAAUAAGCACCGGCUAACUUCGUG